UUCCCAGCAACUCCUAUCCCUACUUCCUCGUUGUAAUAGCCAGGGUACGACGAUGGGAAAGAUCGGGUGGGCACUUUGGUCGUAUGCUGAGAGGGAAGG
rnacentral:ribozyme from 1 species